rnacentral:pre_miRNA from 1 species
AAAGUGGUAUGCAGCCAAGGAUGACUUGCCGACCAGUGGCCUAUUCAAGAAGAAGCAAAAGACCAAGUUGGCAAGUUGUCCUUGGCUACAUGGUUCUUUGU